CACGGCUUGUUUUUAUAUUAGCAGGGAAGUCAUUUACUGGUCUGUCGCAGUUCUGCUGAAUUUCCCUGAUUUUAAAACUAAUUGUUUCUCUGUUUCAGCUGCAGGCUUGUUUGAUAUAAGUAUCAUCUGGAGUAGAAGAAGCCAGUCAGAAGCACGAAGCUGGCAAGCUACCGUCUUCCUCAAACAAGCUGACGAUGUGGAUUUGUGGUCAGAACCUGAAAGCUGUUAGUUGAGAGGUAAUAGAUCCCACAGCAGCUAAUGUUAAUUGUUAUUUUUAUAUCGUUAUUUUAUAUUAUUAUUUUAUAUUGAAACUGUUCA